rnacentral:rRNA from 1 species
UACAGAGACUGCGAGCGUUAUUCGGAUUCACUGGGCGUAAAGGGUGCGCAGGCGGCCAAGUGUGUUAGGCGUGAAAGCCCGAGGCUUAACCUCGGAAUUGCACCUAAAACUACUUGGCUAGAGUACUGGAGAGGAGAUUGGAAUUUACGGUGUAGCAGUGAAAUGCGUAGAUAUCGUAAGGAAGACCAGUGGCGAAGGCGAAUCUCUGGACAGUUACUGACACUGAGGCACGAAGGCCAGGGGAGCAAACGGG